rnacentral:rRNA from 1 species
AAGUCGUAACAAGGUUUCCGUAGGUGAACCUGCGGAAGGAUCAUUAGUGAAGAACGGGGUCUGCCUUCGAGCGCCCUUGGUCGUCCACCCUGCGCAUCGAGCCCUUUUUUAAACGCUAGUCGAAGUCGAGGAUGUUGGAACGCUUAUGAAAGGCACAAAAUGAAGCAACGGAUCUCUUGACUCUCGCAUCGAUGAAGAACGCAGCGAAACGCGAAAUGUAAUGUGAAUUGCAGAACCCCAGUGAAUCAUCGAAUCUUUGAACGCACCUUGCGCUCUGUGGUAGUCCGCAGAGCAUGCCUGUUUGAGUGUCGCGCCCCCCUCUCACGCCCGCCCGCAGUCGAAACCGCGGGUGUGGCCGUGGACCGUGGUCUCUGUCGGCUUGCUCGAGCGAGCCGAAGGCCGAAAGCGAUGAGCGCCCUGAGGCGCGCGGCUUGACCGGACCGAUUGUACGCACCCUUCGGCGCCGGGACGCGCGCCUUGGACGCUGCGAACCUCGAUAUCGCAAGACUUCGACCUCAAAUCAGGCAGGACGACCCGCUGAACUUAAGCAUAUCAAUAAGCGGAGGAAAAGAAACCAACGUGGAUUCCCCUAGUAGCGGCGAGCGAAGCGGGACGAGCUCAACUUUGUAAUCUGGCGCCUUUCGGCGUCCGACUUGUAGUCUCACGAAGCGUGACCCGCCCUGGCCCGCGCCCAAAUUGCAUGGUUGCAAUGCCAGAGAGGGUGCCAACCCCGUCGACGGCGCGGACGCCCAGGGCGUAUGCGGUCUGCUUUCCAAGAGUCGAGUUGUUUGGGAAUGCAGCUCCAAUCGGGUGGUAAAUUCCAUCUAAGGCUAAAUAGCGGCGAGAGACCGAUAGCGAACAAGUACCGUGAGGGAAAGAUGAAAAGCACUUUGGAAAGAGGAUGAAAGAACACGUGAAAUUGCUUUAUUGGAAACGCUUGACGUCAGGUACGCGUGGGCGGGGGUCAGCCGGGCUUCGGCCCUGGCGCAUGUCCCGCCCGUUUUGCGCGCCAGCAUCGGUUCUGGGCGCCGGACAUGGGCUCGGGCAAGGUAGCACCCUCGGGUGUGUUUAUAGGCCCGGGCAGGUGCGGCGUCGAGGGACCGGGGACUGCAGCGCGCCCUCUCGGGGGCCAUCGCUUCGGCGGUGCACGCGCUUUGGAUGCUGGUGGAAUGGCUUUAAACGACC